GCCGGGGUGGUGGAAUUGACAGACACGAUCGACUUAAGAUCGAUUGGGCGAAAGCCCGUGAGGGUUUGAGUCCCUCCCCCGGCA
rnacentral:tRNA from 1 species